rnacentral:rRNA from 1 species
UACGAAGGGGGCUAGCGUUGUUCGGAAUCACUGGGCGUAAAGGGCGCGUAGGCGGCUUUAUAAGUCGGGGGUGAAAAGCCUGUGGCUCAACCACAGAAUUGCCUUCGAUACUGUAGAGCUUGAGACCGGAAGAGGUAAGUGGAACUGACGAGUGUAGAGGUGAAAUUCGUAGAUAUUCGCAAGAACACCAGUGGCGAAGGCGGCUUACUGGUCCGGUUCUGGACGCUGAGGGCGGCGAAAAGCCGUGGGGAGCAA